AAAAUAAGUAAAAUGAAACAACAAAACAAUAAACCCCCUUCCCACAGACACAUUUAAAAGACUGUAGAAUAUUAGCCGUCCCAAGGUCUGGUUGAAGAGGAACAUUUUCACCUGGCACCUAAAAAUAUAUAAUGAAGAUGCCUGGCGAGCCUCGCUGGGAAGAGCAUCCCCCAAAUGGGGAAUCACUACAGAGAAGGCCCCGUUCUUGUGUUGUCCCCCUCCGGACCUCUCUAGGAGGAGGCACACAAAGAAGGGCCUCAGAGGAUGAAUGCAGAGUCCAAUGCGGUUCAUAUGGGGAGAGGCGCCCCCCCCCCAUUCAUUUUUAACUUUAAUUCAGCAGGAGCUGCAUAUAUGAUGUAUGCCAGUGCCCCACAUUCUGCUAGAUCUCCUUCCCUCAUGGAUGCCCACUCAAGGGCUUCAGACUGCAACAGGUGCCACAUAAGAAACCGAUCUUCUAGCACCUACACUUUGGAACUCCCUUCCUAUUGACACCAGGCAGGCACCUUCAGUGUACUCUUUUUUUGCACUUGCUAAAAACAUUUUUGUUCAGGCAAGCCUAUACAGAUAAGCAAAAGUUUGACAGGUGCUUUUAUCUGGUUUUUAGCGUACUGUUGAUUUUAAUGUUUUUUUUAAUGUUUUAAACAGCUGUUUUUAACUGUCUUUUUACUGAUAAUUUCAUUGUUUCAUUCAUUUUGUAAACCGCUUUGAGGGUGUGUGGUUUUUUACAAUCAAGCAGUAUAUAAAUUUUAUGAACUAAAUAAAUAAGUGUUCUCUAAAGGUUGGAACUAGCUUCAUUGUUCGUGGCAACCAUUCAGCUGCUUUCGAGGAAGUUUCAUGCCUUGUGUUCAUUCAGGCUGGCUGGCUGGCCCAGGAUUGACUGCUUUGGCUGGCAGCCGCUGCUCUCCAGGGUCAGUGACUCAGAAAGGUCCUUCCUCCUCCCCCCCUUUUUCUUUUUUGGCAGUAUUUUUAUUAAGUUUACUUAUCAUUACAGUUAUUCAAUUCAUUAUUCAAAACAUCAUAAGAUACAUAAAGAAAAACCAGAAUAAUUCAACAUCUUUGAAAAUGACUUCCCUUCACCUCAUUGUGGGUCCUUCUUUUUCUUUUUAACUGUGUCCUUUUUCAAAUUCAAUUCAUUGAUCUCACAUAACGUAAAUUAUCUGUCUGUUAACUAAUUUGCGAAAAUUAAAGCAUAUUAGAGAUUUUGUUUGGGAACAGUGUUUUUCUAAGUGUACUCUGUAAAACUUCCACUCAGUUUUAAAUUUUUGGUUUGUUUGAUUCCU